ACACAUUCUGAGGCAUAAACAGACUUGACUGUGGGAGGAAAAUGACACUGAAUUGUUUUUACAGCACACAGGACGGCGCCAACAGCGACGGUUUCCAGACCUGCCGAGCCUGAUGACUCCUCUGGGAUUGUUGCUUCUGUGAAAGCCACGACAAAGGCCCCGCUGCCGGUCCCUCCUCAGCUGCUCGCCCUCGCCCCACAGCUUGGGGUAGAAGAACAGGCGCCUAAUGUGUUGAGACAAAAGUUACCAUCAGUGGAAGCACAGAGAGACACUGUCCCUGAUGAAGCUCUGCCAAGUCCAGCACCGUCUGUCCCUUUAGAUGUCCCACACCAGCCUGCAGCCUCUGUCCCUGGCUAUGCUCAGGAUGUAGCGCAG